UACAGAGGUCCCAAGCGUUGUUCGGAUUCACUGGGCGUAAAGGGCGCGUAGGCGGCCACGACAAGUCACUUGUGAAAUCUCCGGGCUUAACUCGGAACGGUCAAGUGAUACUGUCGGGCUAGAGUACAGAAGGGGCAACUGGAAUUCUCGGUGUAGCGGUGAAAUGCGUAGAUAUCGAGAGGAACACCUGCGGCGAAGGCGGGUUGCUGGGCUGAUACUGACGCUGAUGCGCGAAAGCCAGGGGAGCGAACGGG
rnacentral:rRNA from 1 species